UUUAGAAUGAUCUCGUACGGAACGAAUAAUAAGUAGUUAAACACUCUCCGCGCAUAGCAAGUCAGUAAUCACUCUACUAAGUUACUGAACCAAACAUUGAAGGCUUAGUUUGUCAUAUCGUGAUAGACGGCUAAGGUCAAGUAAGAUUACACCAGGGUUUGCGUGCGUGACAGGAUCCAAAUAGAAAAUAAGGGUAUUCACCAAAAUUGUAUGCACAUUUGUAAAGCAUUAUACAUGAGAUCACUAAUAAUAAAAUCUAAUUUUAGCUUAAAGCUGUAUCCA
rnacentral:lncRNA from 1 species